AUUGAACGCUGGCGGCAGGCUUAACACAUGCAAGUCGAGCGGAGAUGAGGUGCUUGCACCUUAUCUUAGCGGCGGACGGGUGAGUAAUGCUUAGGAAUCUGCCUAUUGGUGGGGGACAACAUUCCGAAAGGAAUGCUAAUACCGCAUACGUCCUACGGGAGAAAGCAGGGGAUCUUCGGACCUUGCGCUAAUAGAUGAGACUAAGUCGGAUUAGCUAGUUGGUGGGGUAAAGGCCUACCAAGGCGACGAUCUGUAGCGGGUCUGAGAGGAUGAUCCGCCACACUGGGACUGAGACACGGCCCAGACUCCUACGGGAGGCAGCAGUGGGGAAUAUUGGACAAUGGGGGGAACCCUGAUCCAGCCAUGCCGCGUGUGUGAAGAAGGCCUUAUGGUUGUAAAGCACUUUAAGCGAGGAGGAGGCUACUGAGACUAAUACUCUUGGAUAGUGGACGUUACUCGCAGAAUAAGCACCGGCUAACUACGUGCCAGCAGCCGCCGUAAAAC
rnacentral:rRNA from 1 species